GUUGCAGGUGUGAACACCGGGAGGGCUUUUCCAGCAUCGCAGCUCACCUGGCGUCACAAGGGUCAUCAAAGAGCAAAGCCUAAGGCAGGAGUACAAAAAGCUUCCCAGCAUCCCUCAAUCGUCAACGAUGGUGCAGGUGUGAGCACAGGGAGGGCUUUUCCAGCUCCUCACGUGGGUCCCGAACCACAGCUCACCUGGCAUCGCAAGGGUCCACAAGAAACAAAGCCUAAGGUAUUAAGACGAAAGUCUUCCCAGCAUAAAUCAGUCCUCAACCAAGUCCUGGAGGAACUGGACAAAGUAGAGCAUGGUGGGUAUAUAUCGCUCUAGAGCAGAAGACUUGGGAAGUGGAGGUUUAGAUACACAUGCUCUUCAGAAGGGCGCUUUCCCUGACUGAACUGACACCCUCAAAUGCUCUGGCUUUGUU